AGUGGGGAAUAUUGGACAAUGGGCGAAAGCCUGAUCCAGCAAUGCCGCGUGAGUGAUGAAGGCCUUAGGGUUGUAAAGCUCUUUUACCCGGGAUGAUAAUGACAGUACCGGGAGAAUAAGCUCCGGCUAACUCCGUGCCAGCAGCCGCGGUAAUACGGAGGGAGCUAGCGUUGUUCGGAAUUACUGGGCGUAAAGCGCGCGUAGGCGGCUUAUCAAGUCAGGGGUGAAAUCCCGGGGCUCAACCCCGGAACUGCCCUUGAAACUGGUUGGCUAGAAUCCUGGAGAGGCGAGUGGAAUUCCGAGUGUAGAGGUGAAAUUCGUAGAUAUUCGGAAGAACACCAGUGGCGAAGGCGACUCGCUGGACAGGUAUUGACGCUGAGGUGCGAAAGCGUGGGGAGCAAA
rnacentral:rRNA from 1 species